rnacentral:lncRNA from 1 species
UUAGGAUAGUACACAGUAGAUAUUUUGAACAUAGUGCUCUAUUAUUGAUUGUUUAGAAACUGCUUUAUUAACUAUAGUAUUUAUCAACUUAACUUUCUCAAGCCUUACCUUCUAUUUGUAAUUGGUCGAUAUAUAUAAAUGUUUCCUUUUUUGUCAUACAUUGUGGAUGCCUGCUGAAUUCUUAGCUUUUAUAUCUAUGUUUCCUUUUGUUCGCUCGCAUCCUCUCUUUCACUUCUAUCUUACUGUUAUCUUUUAGUUUGCAUAAGAAAAGAUGAAACUAUUGUGCAACUAGAUGGAUUGUUAGCUAAGAUUAAUAUUACACUAAGUUAGAUGGAUGUAUAUUUUGAACAGAAAAAGAAGAUAAAUCUAUAUAGGGUACAAAUGAUUUAGAAUUUUUUGAUGAAUUUCUUUAUGAAUUGUUAGUGAAGGAUUGUAUUAUUUUUUGUGACACAGAAAAGAAUCAUUUAGGAUGAAAAAGUUAGAGAUUGCAAUUAUGAUUUUUAAGGACAUUUCAUCGCUCGAAUUUAAAAUCUCUUAUUUGAUUUGAACAGUCACUAAAAACUUGGCUAGGUCGGGCUUAGAUCAUUGCCCUCCUCACUUGAAAUAAGUCGGAUCAGGUUGAAAUUGAGUUUAGAGUUCCAAUAUGGGUUUUAUUUACUACAAAUUUGAUUAAUCCAAUACUUAUGAUUCAGUUCAACAUAUUCUAAAACUAACUAGUCCCGAUCAGUGUUGAACUUUUCUUUCUAUUGAAGCUUGAUUAGAAUUUUAGAUUAAACAAAAAAGCCUUCCCCUUUCAUGAUACCCUUGAAACUUUAGAUUAGACAAAGAAUCAGCAAGUUCGAUCAAUUAAAGAACGAAAUGGGCAAAUUUCAAAUGACAGUCUAUUGACAAAUUACAACUAUUAGUUUUGAGCUAUCAAAUUAAUUUAUUAUCUUUCCUAAACGUGCACCUGCGCCGUCUAAAUAAUAGGUUAGUUCUUAAAUUGUCAGAAGAGGGGAAAAAAAGAAAAGAAAAUUAUGUUGGUUCUUUCCGUUCUCGGGCGGCUAAUAAUAUUUUCGUAUGGCUCUAUCACACUGGAGAAACAGUAGCUAUUCGCCUUGUAUGAUUUGAAGAGAAUUGGUUAGAGAAAUGCCUCUGGGUGGUGGGCGGGAUGUCGCCAAGAGUGGCGACCGUGCCAGCGGUUUGCCUUAUUUCAAGGAUAAUCUGGGGAAGCAAGAACAGCCCUUUUUAUGCCCUUAUGCAAUCUCUGGUAAUUGUUGCUUAGGAGAUAACAGAGAAUUUUGAAAUCUUUCACAUUGUUAAUUCUCCAGUAGAUUGUAUCAGAUAACCUCAAGUUAUAUCUACUCUCAUUUCAUUCGAAAGUAAUCACAUUGUUGAAGUUGCAUAUGGUGUUAUAUUUUUGUUUAUGGUUGUUCACAUUGUGGUUGGAAUUGUACUUCCUGUUUAGCUACAUGCAUGUGGUCCUUUUUUUUUUUUGGAUAUUUGUAAUUGCACAACCUAUGGCCUGCUCUUUACAAUAUUCCCCCAAUCUAUCCGUCAACCUUAUUUGUUGCUAAUUACUGUACACGAUUCGCAUAAUUAGUUUCAUGCUGUUGAAAAUCAAUAUUAUGCUUUUUUUUUUUGUAUUGUUAAUAUUAUUAUUUUUUGGACUGACUAAACAUUCAACGGAAAGUUGAGGUGAUUGUUUUGUUUGGAAUGCUGCUGAUGGCAUUAUCCUAUGAGGGAUUAAACGCG